rnacentral:lncRNA from 1 species
CUCCAAUGCCCUACCCAACGCCGCGGGCCUUCAUCACGAUCAUUUUUCACCAACAUGAUAUGUCGGGGCAUUCCCCGGUGAAUAAAUACAAAUAAUCUCGGGGCAUUCCCCGGUUAAAUAAAUACAUCUAAAUUAAACAUGAUAAUCUAGAAAGAGACAUUCACACGCACAUUCCAACAUCCCACGGAACACUUAUUCCUAAAUUUCGCCUACCCGGCCUACGAUUGCCUACCCGCUUGACUUACCAUGAUACUAUCACGAAAUUGAUAAUUAGACGUGAAAGUAACAAUAACGACGAAUCAAAACAACAACAAAUCAAAAUUAAUCCUAAUUCACUUUAACGAUUUUUUUAACUCGCGCCCCGAAUUCCCUUUAAACCACAUGAUUAGUGCAUGCUUCGAUUUUCCAAUCACAUCUCAUAAUCCGAAACCAACAUCAAACACAACACAAACAACGAAGAUUCAAACCAAACACACAACAAAUAAAUCAUCCACACCAACAACAUCAAUAAAAAGUCAAAAUAAAUUAAAGAUUCGGUUAGAAGAAAUGGACCUUGACGAAACUAAUCCUUGUCGAUAAUAAAGAAAUCCGAAGACCAAAAUACUCGAUCAGAGAACCUCACAACGAACAACUCCAAACUCGAUAUUGAGUUUGACCGGA